CCCGGAACCCCCAGCUCCAUUCAUUAAUAAAGGAAGUUAAUAGGACGGGUCUGUAGCCAGGACAGACUCUGUGCGUCUGGAUCAAGUCGCAAGGGAUUUCUGUUUUUAACGAAAGCGCACGCUCGUCUCCAGUUUCCUCUGCGUCUCCAUUUGUGUCGAUACUAGUGUCUUUGCUGUCCUGGGAUCAGCCUGUCAUGUUCGGUCGAAGCUCCAAGAGGAGAAACUUCACCACAUCAUCGCUGAGCCCUGCAGAUGAGCCCCAGAGAGGACAGCCCUGUAUCACCUGUGGAGAACAGUGUCCUGGCUUUUCCCUGCACGCAUGGAGUGUACCCUGGAAAACUGCUUUGCCAUCUCAGAUCCUAUAGAUGCUAAAUAAUCCCCCUACCAGCAUCCUGAUGGACAAAUAAAAAACAAUUUAAAAAAAAUCAAAUUAUUUACUGAUUUGUCAAAUUAAGUAAAGCUGUUUCAAAGGAGUUGAAACCAGCAGGAGGCAACAUGUCUAACUUUAUCCCCAGGUCCAGGAACAGCUGCAGGAGCCUGGGACUUUAAUUUUAAUUUCAGGGUGAUGCUAUCAGCUAAACAGUCCCAAUAGGGCACAGUGUACGAUAGAAGAAAAGAAGAAAUUAAGUAGGUUAAGUGAAUACAAUGAAAUUGUAAAUUGGCCUUCUUUAGUCCAAUCCCUUUCUUUCAGGUCUGUGAUGACAACAAGGCUAGUAAAAAAAUACAAGAUGUCAUCCAAGAAGUGAUGCACAAAGAGCAUGACUGUACUGAAACUAUUAUAUUGGAAAACCUAACGUAUACUUCAUAUAGAUUCAUUGUAUUGGACAGCUGUAUAAGUGUGUGUAGUGUUUUCAGGCAGCUUGUGUAUAAUAGAGCCGGUAUAUAGUGUCAGUCUGAUCCACCUAAGUCUCUUCUUAUCAAGGUCAUCUCUAACAGGUGCUCAUGUGUUUGGAUUAAGAGCGAUAGGCAUCAGAAAAUUCCUUUUAGUCUCUCAUAGAAAAUGGUAUGUGUGUUUCAAUAUGUUGUCUCUCAUAUCAGGUUAUCCCCUUUUUUUAAAGACAUUUCACUCCUCUGCAUUGUAAUUGUCACUUGUUUAUGUAA